rnacentral:misc_RNA from 1 species
ACCACGAGAGUUGGUAACACCCGAAGUCGGUGAGGUAACCUUUUGGAGCCAGCCGCCGAAGGUGGGAUCAAUGAUUGGGGUGAAGUCGUAACAAGGUAGCCGUAUCGGAAGGUGCGGCUGGAUCACCUCCUUUCUAAGGAUAAUUGGAACUACUACUUCGUAGUAGACAUCGUGAUUGGUUGUUUGUUCAGUUUUGAGAGAUCAAUCUCUCUUGUGAACCUUGAAAACUAGAUAAGAAACAACAUGCCAGAACAUCUAACUUUAAAGCAAGACAAUUUUUAUUGUCGCGAAUUUAAGCAUCAUGCGUUAUUAGUUAAGUGAAGAAGGGCGCACGGUGGAUACCUAGGCACACAGAGA